rnacentral:rRNA from 1 species
GACGAACGCUGGCGGCGUGCCUAAUACAUGCAAGUCGAACGCUUCUUUCCUCCCGAGUGCUUGCACUCAAUUGGAAAGAGGAGUGGCGGACGGGUGAGUAACACGUGGGUAACCUACCCAUCAGAGGGGGAUAACACUUGGAAACAGGUGCUAAUACCGUAUAACAGUUUAUGCCGCAUGGCAUAAGAGUGAAAGGCGCUUUCGGGUGUCGCUGAUGGAUGGACCCGCGGUGCAUUAGCUAGUUGGUGAGGUAACGGCUCACCAAGGCCACGAUGCAUAGCCGACCUGAGAGGGUGAUCGGCCACACUGGGACUGAGACACGGCCCAGACUCCUACGGGAGGCAGCAGUAGGGAAUCUUCGGCAAUGGACGAAAGUCUGACCGAGCAACGCCGCGUGAGUGAAGAAGGUUUUCGGAUCGUAAAACUCUGUUGUUAGAGAAGAACAAGGACGUUAGUAACUGAACGUCCCCUGACGGUAUCUAACCAGAAAGCCACGGCUAACUACGUG